rnacentral:tRNA from 1 species
CCUUCGAUAGCUCAGUUGGUAGAGCGGUGGACUGUAGAGAUUGUACAAAGUGUAUGUGGAAAUCCAUAGGUCGCUGGUUCAAAUCCGGCUCGAAGGA